rnacentral:misc_RNA from 1 species
CAUUCUCUUUCUUGCCUAAAAUGAUAUUUGAGAAACAUGAAGAAUACAUGUAUCUGAGACUGGUUGAAGAUAUCAUCUCGAAUGGCAUGCUAAAGGAUGACAGGACAGGCACUGGUACUUUGUCGAAAUUUGGUUGCCAGAUGAGAUACAAUUUACGCAGAUCAUUUCCCCUUCUUACAACAAAGAGAGUUUUCUGGAGAGGCGUCAUUGAAGAACUCUUGUGGUUCAUCAGUGGAUCAACAAGUGCUAAGGUCCUACAAGAGAAGGGCAUUCAUAUUUGGGAUGGCAAUGCAUCCAG